AACGAACGCUGGCGGCAGGCCUAACACAUGCAAGUCGAGCGGACCUUUCGGGGUCAGCGGCGGACGGGUGAGUAACGCGUGGGAAUAUGCCCUUCUCUACGGAAUAGUCCUGGGAAACUGGGGGUAAUACCGUAUACGCCCUUUGGGGGAAAGAUUUAUCGGGGAAGGAUUAGCCCGCGUUGGAUUAGGUAGUUGGUGGGGUAAUGGCCUACCAAGCCGACGAUCCAUAGCUGGUUUGAGAGGAUGAUCAGCCACACUGGGACUGAGACACGGCCCAGACUACUACGGGAGGCAGCAGUGGGGAAUCUUAGACAAUGGGGGCAACCCUGAUCGAGCCAUGCCGCGUGAGUGAUGAAGGCGUUAGGGUUGUAAAGCUCUUUCAGCUGGGAAGAUAAUGACGGUACCAGCAGAAGAAGCCCCGGCUAACUCCGUG
rnacentral:rRNA from 1 species